rfam:Triticum aestivum genome assembly, contig: Triticum_aestivum_CS42_TGACv1_scaffold_577088_7BL
CUAGUACUCCCUCCGUCCGAAAAUACUUGUCAUCAAAAUGGACCAAAAUGGAUGUAUCUAGAACUAAAAUAUAUCUAGAUACAUCCCCUUUUAUUUAUUUUGAUGACAAGUAUUCCCGGACGGAGGGAGUAGUAC